UAUCUGUAUCAUAUACCCAAUCGCCUGUGGUUUCAUAUACAAAAAAGGCAGUUUUGUAUUCUUUGAUAUCAAGUUCAAUUCUUCAUGUAGAAACGACCAUUUUUUUCUGUGUCCCUUAGCAUCUUAUAUUUUUUCGCAUAAUGCCUGGACAUCGUUGGGCAUGCAAUAUUACACAGUGUGACACGUUUACAAAUGAAAAUCAACAAUCAAACUAGUCAUUAUGUUAGACAAUAAAUGAACAAAAGACAAACUCGGG
rnacentral:lncRNA from 1 species